UAGCUCUUUGUGGAGAUAAUUAGGGGUGGGAGCAGUUUGAAGGAGUAAGCCUGGUUUUAUACUUUUAAAUAAAGUGUUUUUAUCUGUCUCUCUGUUGUGGGUGAGGCCUGGUGACAGAGGGCUGGAGGAAUGAAGGAAAUGCUUAACUAAGCCGGGUCUGGUGUGACACACUGGAGGGUUACAGCCCUACAGCCCGCUUGUCCUUUGUCCCUUCCCUUCUACCCCCAUGGUGGGACACAUAUUCACAAUCGAGCCCAGCCAAGGAAUAUUCAAGGCCUCAUCUGUAGGGCAAUGCAAAGUAAAUUGUAGAGAACAGCCUACGCCCCCUGCAGUACAGCUGACUUCUGAGCCUCUGGUCCUCAGGCCACAAGGACAUGAUUGUGUCUGUUCACACAUGUUCACAAGGACAUAGGUCCUGUCUUUCCCACACUUGAGUCACGGCUCCUAUUCACUUUGGAAGAACCCCUGAGAGGUUAGGGCUUGAGGCCAUACUUGCAAACUUUUUUUGUUUUGUCUUGUUUUGUUUUUUGAAAUGGAGUCUCACUCUGUUGCCCAGGCUGGAGUGCAGUGGCACGAUCUCAGCUCACUGCCAGGCAUCUGGCCAGUCGUUUCCAAGAACCUGCUUCAGCUUGGGUAGCAAGAAGAUCAACAAUUCCAUCAACUAGCAAGAAAGGGACACCACCUACAGCAGAGUUCAAGGU
rnacentral:lncRNA from 1 species